rnacentral:rRNA from 1 species
GACGAACGCUGGCGGCGUGCUUAACACAUGCAAGUCGAACGGACGAGUGAGAUAAGUAUACUUAACUCACAAGUUAGUGGCGGACGGGUGAGUAACACGUGGAUAAUCUACCUGCAACACCGGGAUAACGCUGUGAAAACGGUGCUAAUACCGGAUACGUUCCCUUGUGCGCAUGUAUGAGGGAAGAAAGCUCAGGCGGUUGCAGAUGAGUCCGCGGCUGAUUAGCUAGUUGGUGAGGUAAAGGCUCACCAAGGCGAUGAUCAGUAGCCGGCCUGAGAGGGUGAACGGCCACACUGGGACUGAGACACGGCCCAGACUCCUACGGGAGGCAGCAGUGGGGAAUCUUCCGCAAUGGGCGCAAGCCUGACGGAGCAACGCCGCGUGGGUGAAGAAGGCCUUCGGGUUGUAAAGCCCUGUCUUAUGGGAAGAAGUCAGUGACGGUACCAUAGGAGGAAGCCACGGCUAACUACGUGCCAGCAGCCGCGGUAAUACGUAGGUGGCGAGCGUUGUCCGGAAUUACUGGGCGUAAAGGGCGCGCAGGCGGGUUUUUAAGUCAGAUGUGUAAUCUACAGGCUCAACCUGUAGUUUGGAUCUGAUACUGGAAAUCUUGAGUGCAGGAGAGGACAGUGGAAUUCCUAGUGUAGCGGUGAAAUGCGUAGAUUUUAGGAGGAACACCAGUGGCGAAAGCGGCUGUCUGGCCUGCAACUGACGCUAAGGCGCGAAAGCGUGGGUAGCAAACAGG